UGACUGUGAGUGCCACUCGUUGAGUGAGCUGACGAACCUGGGAGAGAGCUUUCUGUGUUUUGAGAGAGAGAGAGAGCGGAGCUGCUUCAGCCGUGUAAGCCUCUGUUGGACUCCGAUCCACGUUUCCAAACCUCUGGAGGACUGCACAGAACAUGCUGAAUUUGUUUGGCCCGACUUAUGAGUGAGCAGACAUUCAGCGUCAUGAACGCCAACAAAGCCCGUCACAGAUCAAGUUAACGGAUCAGCACCUCAGAUGUAUCCUGAGAAUUCCCACAACCAAAAUAACUCCAGACUUAGAGGCACUGGCAAAAAUGGGAGAUCAACAACACUGUUCACACUGAAACUGAAAGUGAUGAUGUGUUGCUGCAGCAAGGUUGGAGGCAAAUCUCCGACACACAGUCUGCGUGGCUGCUCUAACCUGUUAAUGUAGAUAAUAAAGAAAUUCAAGUGAGGUAAUUGGUUUGGGCGCAGCCCUCAGAUUUUUUCAUGAUGUUUGAUCAGUCAUGUUACGACAUGUUUUUGUAUUGUUCAUGUUUACCCCUGGUCUAUGGCCACCACAUGCAAAACCAUUCCUUUUUUCAGGGUUGUCUUGCUUUUGACUCACCAUUGCAACCGUUGUCAAUUUCCUUAGCACCACAUAUAUUAACCCUUCUGAAAUAGGGAAAAAUUAAGAAAAUUAAACACCCGAUUAAUGUUCCAACUACAUUGGGGGAUAACCCUGACCAGGCAAUGUUGGCGCCCUAGGCGGGAUUUCAGAAUGGCGCCCCCCAACAUACACACGUAAAUUGUCAUGCAUCCCCAGGAGCUUUUGGACUGUAUACAGAUGCACACACAGGCAGACAAAAUA